UACCAGCACCCCGAGUGGUCGGGACGACUAUUGGGCCUAAAGCAUCCGUAGCCGGUCCUACAAGUCUUCCGUUAAAUCCACCUGCUCAACAGAUGGGCUGCGGAAGAUACUAUAGGGCUAGGAGGCGGGAGAGGCAAGCGGUACUCAGUGGGUAGGGGUAAAAUCCUCUGAUCCAUUGAAGACCACCAGUGGCGAAGGCGGCUCACUGGCCCGAUACUGACGCUGAGGCACGAAAGCGUGGGGAGCAAACAGG
rnacentral:rRNA from 1 species